GACGAACGCUGGCGGCGUGCUUAACACAUGCAAGUCGAACGGAAAGGCCCCUUCGGGGGUACUCGAGUGGCGAACAGGUGAGUAACACGUGAGUAACCUGCCCUUGACUUCGGGAUAACUUCAGGAAACUGGGGCUAAUAGCGGAUAGGAAUCCUUGCUGCAUGGUGGGGGUUGGAAAGCUUCGGCGGUUUUGGAUGGACUCGCGGCUUAUCAGCUUGUUGGUGGGGUAGUGGCUUACCAAGGCUUUGACGGGUAGCCGGCCUGAGAGGGCGACCGGCCACAUUGGGACUGAGAUACGGCCCAGACUCCUACGGGAGGCAGAAGUGGGGAAUAUUGCACAAUGGGCGGAAGCCUGAUGCAGAAACGCCGCGUGCGGGAUGACGGCCUUCGGGUUGUAAACCGCUUUCAGCAGGGGCGAAGCUUGUGGUGACGGUACCUGCAGAAGAAGCACCGGCUAACUACGUG
rnacentral:rRNA from 1 species